rnacentral:rRNA from 1 species
GACCUGGCUGGGCGGUCCGCUUAACGGCGUGUACUGUCUGGCUGGGCCUUACCUCUUGGUGAGCCGGCGUGCCCUUUAUUGGUGUGCGUCGGGGAACCAGGACUUUUACCUUGAGAAAAUUAGAGUGUUUAAAGCAGGCAUCCGCUUGAAUACAUUAGCAUGGAAUAACAGAAUAAGACU